rnacentral:rRNA from 1 species
GACGAACGCUGGCGGCGUGCCUAAUACAUGCAAGUAGAACGCUGAAGGAGGAGCUUGCUCUUCUGGAUGAGUUGCGAACGGGUGAGUAACGCGUAGGUAACCUGCCUGGUAGCGGGGGAUAACUAUUGGAAACGAUAGCUAAUACCGCAUAACAGUAGAUGUUGCAUGACAUUUGCUUAAAAGGUGCAAUUGCACCACUACCAGUUGGACCUGCGUUGUAUUAGCUAGUUGGUGGGGUGACGGCUCACCAAGGCGACGAUACAUAGCCGACCUGAGAGGGUGAUCGGCCACACUGGGACUGAGACACGGCCCAGACUACUACGGGAGGCAGCAGUAGGGAAUCUUCGGCAAUGGACGGAAGUCUGACCGAGCAACGCCGCGUGAGUGAAGAAGGUUUUCGGAUCGUAAAGCUCUGUUGUAAGAGAAGAACGAGUGUGAGAGUGGAAAGUUCACACUGUGACGGUAUCUUACCAGAAAGGGACGGCUAACUACGUG